rnacentral:rRNA from 1 species
UACGGAGGGUGCAAGCGUUAUCCGGAUUCACUGGGUUUAAAGGGUGCGUAGGUGGGCAAGUAAGUCAGUGGUGAAAUCUCCGGGCUUAACCCGGAAACUGCCAUUGAUACUAUUUGUCUUGAAUACUGUGGGGGUCAGCGGAAUAUGUCAUGUAGCGGUGAAAUGCUUAGAUAUGACAUAGAACACCAAUUGCGAAGGCAGCUGGCUACACAAAUAUUGACACUGAGGCACGAAAGCGUGGGGAUCAAACAGG